rnacentral:rRNA from 1 species
UACGGGGGGAGCAAGCGUUGUUCGGAAUCACUGGGCGUAAAGGGCGCGUAGGCGGUGAGGUAAGUGAGAUGUGAAAUCCUCCGGCUCACCCGGAGACAUGCAUCUCAUACUGCUUCGCUAGAGUGCAGCAGAGGAAACGGGAAUUCCUGGUGUAGCGGUGAAAUGCGUAGAUAUCAGGAGGAACACCGGUGGCGAAGGCGCGUUUCUGGGCUGUUACUGACGCUGAUGCGCGAAAGCUGGGGGAGCGAAC